UGAUUAUCUCCCAUAGUUAUCAAACGUCAAUGUAAAGGAGCAGAAUGUAGAAGUACUUUGAAAAUGUCGUAAAGGAACUUAUACGGACAUCGUUUAUGUUUUUUAAGCGGUAUUGUACCGCAGUAAAAUAAAAACUCGGACUCGGCAUAAAAUGUUUGCAAAGCUGGUCUUGUACUUAUGUACCGAUUUUAACGUCUCAUUGCUAAAAAAAAAAUUGCAUAUAUUUGUGUACUUGUACUAUAGUCUAUUUCUUUCACGGUCUCUCCGAAUCUAACCUUUGGAAAUAUCCGUUAUACCCACUGAAGUUCAUUCCAGCUCGUCCGUGAUGCAGAACACAUUUUUUUCCUCUCACAAGCCAACUCCGGUCCGGUUUUGUCUAGAUCCAGGCCACAGUUUCCACCCUGGCACAUUCACCUGCAAUCUGUACAGGCGUUUUUGUAAUAUUGCUAUUUCAUAUAAUUAGGCAACGUCUCAAUUAACUCUAACUACUGACCUGUGAUUGGCCAAAUUACUUAUUUUCUCCUUGUUAUAACUCCUGCUAGGUCAGUUAUUGGUAUGUGGUUGUCUAAGUGUUAAUAAUAAUAAUAUUCGAUACUUUAUUAAUCCCCGUGGGGAAAUUGUCUUUAUGACUCCCUCACCUUGUGAAGGGCAGCAUCCUGUAGCGGAGCCCAGGGACCAGGGGCCUAAGGGCCUCGCUCAAGGACCCGCAGACGUGUUGAGGCUGAGAUUACCUUCUGAUUACAGGCAUACAGGCUUAGCCCACAGAGCCACACGCUGCCCCUUAAGUUACAGUCUGAGUGUGUGGUACAUGAGUGUGUGGUACAGUGUGUGAUACAUGAGUGCGUGGUACAGUGUGUGUGGUACAGUGUGUGAUACAUGAGUGUGUGGUACAGUGUGUGAUACAUGAGUGUGUGGUACAGUGUGUGGUACAUGAGUGUGUGGUACAGUGUGUGAUACAGUGUGUGGUACAGUGUGUGUGGUACAGUGUGUGAUACAUGAGUGUGUGGUACAGUGUGUGGUACAUGAGUGUGUGGUACAGUGUGUGUGUGGUACAGUGUGUGGUACAUGAGUGUGUGGUACAGUGUGUGUGGUACAGUGUGUGAUACAUGAGUGUGAGAUACAUGAGUGUGUGGUACAGUGUGUGAUACAUGAGUGUGUGAUACAUGAGUGUGUGGUACAGUGUGUGAUACAUGAGUGUGUGAUACAUGAGUGUGUGAUACAUGAGUGUGUGGUACAGUGUGUGAUACAUGAGUGUGUGGUACAGUGUGUGAUACAUGAGUCUGCUUUUACGUUUGGUUCUGGACGUUUGCCUGCAUUUGGUCCUGUUUUACCUGCCGGAUUCGGAUGUUCGCCUCUUUUUUGGAAAUUGGACUUCUCUUCCUUGACUCUUUUCCCGUUUCUGAACUGUGAUUUCUCAUGACUGGCUUCGGUCUGCUCCAACCACGAUGAAUUAUCGCUAUUAAACUUGUCCACCCUGACUUCCUACCGUGGUCUGCUAUUGAGCCCAACCUUGGCUGUGCCUGGUCCUAUGAGUAUUCCUGAGCCAGGACGGACCCAGCAGACCUCAACCACAUUAAAUUUACCUUGAAGAUAAGGAACCCUGUUUGGAAGACAGGAGUCCAGAUUGGAUACCAUUCAGCAGUCCAUGGAAUCUCUGCCACCAGUCUGAUGUUACUCGCCAUCUCAGAAUAAUGAGUUUGAAAUCAGUGGGCUGAUUGUUCAUUUGGGUGAAGGUGUAACAAUUGAUCUACAAAAAUUAAAAUUACAAUGUUUUUAUUUAAAUAUAUCCUCUCCUCUCACAUAGGGUGGCCCCUUGUUGAUGUAAGAGGUCCACAAUGCUGUGCAAUGGAAAGUGAAUCCCAGAUAUUGUCAUCUGUGAUUUAUGGUUAUUUCACAACAUGCUUAUUCUGCUUCAGACAUAUUUAAUCAUUCUUCUUCUGUGUGUUAAUUAUAAUCCCUGUUCUGCAUGCGGCCAGGCUGAAUAUAAAAUCGGUGAUGAAUGCUGUCCUAUGUGUCACCCCGGAAGUCGUGUCUACAGACAUUGUACAGCAUUGGCCAGCACUUCAUGUGUUCCAUGCCCAGAUUCUGCGUUCAGUGACCAACCUGACAGUCUUGGACAGUGCAGCCCCUGUACAGUCUGUGUUAAAGGCCUUGGUGUGAAAACAGUGACAGCAUGUACACCCUCUUCAGACACAGUGUGUGGGGUCCUGGAAGGGCACUAUUGUAUUAAUCCUUAUAAGGGAGGAUGCAGAGCAGCCAAUAAACACACAGCCUGCAAACCUGGACAGUUCAUCCAACAGCCUGGAACAGAAUACACUGAUACCGUCUGUGAGGACUGCAGUGAUAAUUCAUACUCUGAUGGCUCCUUUACCGCCUGUAAACCACACACACACUGUGAGUCCAGAGGACUUGUCACAGUCAAAGCAGGAGAUAAAGCAGCUGAUUCUGAAUGUGGAGAGAAAAGUAACAUUGCAUUGUCAGCUGGAAUAGCAGCAGCAGCAGCAGCAGCAGUAAUAAUAGGAGCAAUAUAUAGAUUAUAUAAAAAAAAGAUAUUUCCUGGUAUUCAGUGGCGGAAGAAGGUAUGUUAUUUAUUAUUUUAUUUUUGUACAUGUGUCAGAAAUUCAUGUAGUGCAAUCAGUGCUUAUAACCAGUCUGUCAUAAGACCAGACUACAUUAAUUUCAUUGUAAUAUUUUGACAGGAUCCACCCAUAGAAGGUGAAAGUAUGGUACCAAAUACAACUAAAGUAAGUCAGUGUAUUAGUAAUAAUUUCAGUAAAGUAACAGAAGGUGCAUUUAUGUAGAAGCUGAUUGAUUUCCACCCCCCUGGGUUCAGUGUAAAACAGGGUCCCAUAAGACAGUGACUGUGGAUCCUACAUUUAUGUCCAGGUGUAAGAUGACGAUGUGACAUAAACCCACAGAGGAGCCACCGGAUCCUUCUGGAUGUUUUGGCCUAAGAAAAAAAAAAUAUAUAUAUAUUUGUGUCCUUCCAUCCAUCCAUUUUCCAAACCGCUUAUCCUACUGGGUCACGGGGGGUCCAGAGCCUAUCCUGGAAGCAAUGGGCACAAGGCAGGGAACAACCCAGGAUGGGGGGGCAGCCCAUCGCAGGGCACACUCACACACCAUUCACUCUCACAUGCACACCUACGGGCAAUUUAGCAACUCCAAUUAGCCUCAGCAUGUUUCUGGACUGUGGGGGGAAACCGGAGUACCCGGAGGAAACCCCACGACGACAUGGGGAGAACAUGCAUACUCCACACACAUGUGACCCAGGUGGAGACUCAAACCCGGGUCCCAGAGGUGUGAGACAACAGUGCUAACCACUGCACCACCAUGCCGCCCCCUCACCCUAACCACU